rnacentral:rRNA from 1 species
ACCCCGUUGAUCCUGCGGGUCGCGUAUGCUUGUCUCAAGGAUUAAGCCAUGCAAAUGCCAGUAUAAGCCACAUGGAUGGCGAGACUGUGAAUGGCUCAUUAAAACAGUUAUAAUCUACACAAUGUUAGUUUGUUAUAUGGAUAACCCUAGUAAUGCUAGAGCUAAUACAUGCCCUAUUUCCAUUUUUGGGAAAUUGCACUUAUUAGUGAUCCUACUUUACACUUUUCCUGUCACAGGGUUUAGUGUUGAAUGUUGAAUCAUGAUAAUUUUGUGGAUUGAUAGUAUUUGUACUAUUGACGCAUUGUUUGAAUAUCUGCCCUAUCAACUUUUGACGGUAGGAUUGAGGCCUACCGUGGUGUUGACGGGUAACGGGGAAUUAGGGUUCGAUUCCGGAGAGGGAGCCUGAGAGAUGGCUACCACAUCCAAGGAUGGCAGCAGGCGCGCAAAUUACCCAAUCCUGACACAGGGAGGUAGCGACAAGAAAUACUGAUAGAUAACACUAAGUGUUAUUUUAUUGGCAUGACGUUUAUGUAAACGCGUAACGAAGUAACGAUUGGAGGGCAAGUCUGGUGCCAGCAGCCGCGGUAAUUCCAGCUCCAAUAGCGUACACGAACGUUGUUGCAGUUAAAACGCCCGUAGUCUGAACUGUGAGAUGUUUUUCAUUUUACUCUUUUUUUUGAAAGAGUAUGAAUGGACGACACUCAUUUUGAAAUGAAUGUUUGAAUUGAUCUUGAUUGAUUGAUUUUUGACAUUGAUUUUGAUUUACUGUGAAAAAAUUAGAGUGUUUCAAGCGCUUCUUGUGAAAGUAUAGCUUAGCAUGGUAUAAUAGUAUUUAUGUAUUGAUAAGACUUUAGUAGGAAGUUUUAUUGAUUGAAAAUGCAUCAAUAGGGGUAGUUGGGGCCAUUUGUAUUCCCUAGUCAGAGGUGAAAUUCUUGGAUUUUUGGAAGACGAACAGUUGCGAAAGCGUUUGGCAAGGAUAUUCCCAUUGAUCAAGGACGAAAGUUAGGGGAUCGAAGACGAUUAGAUACCGUCGUAGUCUUAACCAUAAACGUUGCCAUCUUAAAGAUGGUGUAUUGACAAGUCAAUCGUACAUCCUUUUUUAUUCGGGAAACCAAAGAAUUUGGGUUCUGGGGGGGGAGUAUGGUCGCAAGUCUGAAACUUAAAGGAAUUGACGGAAGGGCACCACCAGGAGUGGAGCCUGCGGCUUAAUUUGACUCAACACGGGGCAACUUACCAGGUCCGGACAUGAUCAUGAUUGACAGAUUGAUAGCUCUUUCUUGAUUUUAUGGGUGGUGGUGCAUGGCCGUUCUUAGUUGGUGGAGUGAUUUGUCUGGUUAAUUCCGUUAACGAACGAGACCUUUUCCUGCUAACUAGUUAUAUUGUAUGUGAAGAUAUACGAUAUAUACUUCUUAGAGGUACUAUUCGUUUUUCACGGAUGGAAGUUUUAGGCAAUAACAGGUCUGUGAUGCCCUUUGAUGUCCUGGGCUGCACGCGGGCUACACUGAUGCGAUCAAAUAGUUGUAAGAGACCAUUUCUGAGAAGAGUAUGGCAAACUCUGAAAUUGCAUCGUGCUUGGGAUUGAAUACUGUAACUGUAUUUAUGAACGAGGAAUUCCUUUGUAAACGCGAGUCAUCAACUUGCGUUGAAUACGUCCCUGCCCUUUGUACACACCGCCCGUCGCUCCUACCGAUUGAACGAUCCGGUGAAGCGUACGGCUUGUUUUAUUUUUUGAUUUGAAAGGGUAAGAUGAAAAGUACGUUGAACCUUAUUGUUUAGAGGAAGGAGAAGUCGUAACAAGGUUUCCGUAGGUGAACCUGCGGAAGGAUCAUU